rnacentral:rRNA from 1 species
AAUUUGUAUCUCGUACUGUUAGACGCUCGCGAUUUUAUUCGUGCAGUUGUUUGACAUUUUUCAUUGUACGAGAUAUCAAUGCUGGUGGAUAUUUAGGAUUUGCGUACGUGCGAUCGCUUCGCGCGUUCGUACGUUUGUCGAAUUCGAUGUUCGAUACGAUGGAUUUUUUACAAAUUUCGCAAACGGUCAAUCGGUAAAACAAUCGAUGACGAACACGAACAAGAACAGCAGUGUUCUGUUUCGUUUCGAAAAUCGAUUCGAUUUUCCGUUGUGAAUUUUUUCAAUUCAAUCGUAUUCCGGACGCGUGCGAGUAGUUGCACUUUUCGAAAGUACUACUGCUGUCUGUUUGCGUUCGGACCAGCGAAAUUACUUUGAACAAAUUAGGGUGCUUAAAGCAGGCAAAUUUUUAAUGCCUUGAAUAUAAACAGCAUGGAAUAAUAGAAAAUGAUCUCGAUACUGUUUUCGUAAUUUGUUGUUUGCUGCUGCGUACGUUACAACGAUUUAUGUCGUAGUUUGUGCGUACCUCGAGCAGCGAAAUAAAAUUGGCUUAAAGUGAAUGAAAUGUAUGCAAAUUCAUAAAAGACGUAACAAUACAACACUAUCGAUAAAAUACAACGU